UGGUGGGGUCGUGACUGGCGAACAGGUGGGGAACCACCGGGGAGCGAUGAACAGGUACUGGGGCCGCCCGCCUGGGCCCGAAUG
rnacentral:ncRNA from 2 species